GAUGAACGCUGGCGGCGUGCCUAAUACAUGCAAGCCGAGCGAAUGGAUUAAGAGCUUGCUCUUAUGAAGUUAGCGGCGGACGGGUGAGUAACACGUGGGUAACCUGCCCAUAAGACUGGGACAACUCCGGGAAACCGGGGCUAAUACCGGAUAACAUUUUGAACCGCAUGGGUCGAAAUUGAAAGGCGGCUUAGGCUGUCACUUCUGGAUGGACCCGCGGCGCAUUAGCUAGUUGGUGAGGUAACGGCUCACAAAGGCAACGAUGCGUAGCCGACCUGAGAGGGUGAUCGGCCACACUGGGACUGAGACACGGCCCAGACUCCUACGGGAGGCAGCAGUAGGGAAUCUUCCGCAAUGGACGAAAGUCUGACGGAGCAACGCCGCGUGAGUGAUGAAGGCUUUCGGGUCGUAAAACUCUGUUGUUAGGGAAGAACAAGUGCUAGUUGAAUAAGCUGACACCUUGACGGUACCUAACCAGAAAGCCACGGCUAACUACGUGCCAGCAGCCGCGGUAA
rnacentral:rRNA from 1 species